rnacentral:rRNA from 1 species
GACCUCAAAUCGGGUGGGACUACCCGCUGAACUUAAGCAUAUCAAUAAGCGGAGGAAAAGAAACUAACAAGGAUUCCCCUAGUAACGGCGAGUGAAGAGGGAAAAGCUCAAAUUUUGAAUCUGGUGUCUUUGACUCCCGAGUUGUAAUCUAGAGAAGUGUUUUCCGUGUCGGACCGUGCACAAGUUCCCUGGAACGGGGCGUCAUAGAGGGUGAGAAUCCCGUAUAUGGCACGGACUGCCGAUGCUUUUGUGAUACACUCUCAACGAGUCGAGUUGUUUGGGAAUGCAGCUCAAAAUGGGUGGUAAAUUCCAUCUAAAGCUAAAUAUUGGCGAGAGACCGAUAGCGAACAAGUACCGUGAGGGAAAGAUGAAAAGCACUUUGGAAAGAGAGUGAAACAGUACGUGAAAUUGUUGAAAGGGAAGCGU